CCAAGGGAAUGCCUUAGUAGCGGCGAGUGAAGCGGCAAAAGCUCAAAUUUGAAAUCUGGCUCUUUCAGAGUCCGAGUUGUAAUUUGAAGAAGGUAUCUUUGGGUCUGGCUCUUGUCUAUGUUUCUUGGAACAGAACGUCACAGAGGGUGAGAAUCCCGUGCGAUGAGAUGAUCCAGGCCUAUGUAAAGUUCCUUCGAAGAGUCGAGUUGUUUGGGAAUGCAGCUCUAAGUGGGUGGUAAAUUCCAUCUAAAGCUAAAUAUUGGCGAGAGACCGAUAGCGAACAAGUACAGUGAUGGAAAGAUGAAAAGAACUUUGAAAAGAGAGUGAAAAAGUACGUGAAAUUGUUGAAAGGGAAGGGCUUGAGAUCAGACUUGGUAUUUUGUAUGUUACUUCUUCGGGGGUGGCCUCUACAGUUUAUCGGGCCAGCAUCAGUUUGGGCGGUAGGAGAAUUGCGUUGGAAUGUGGCACGGCUUCGGUUGUGUGUUAUAGCCUUCGUCGAUACUGCCAGCCUAGACUGAGGACUGCGGUUUAUACCUAGGAUGUUGGCAUAAUGAUCUUAAGUCGCCCGUCUUGAAACACAGGAACCAA
rnacentral:rRNA from 2 species